rnacentral:piRNA from 1 species
UAUAUCUAGGCUCUAUUCUGAGUAGAUAA